CCUACGGGAGGCAGCAGUGAGGAAUAUUGGUCAAUGGGCGGGAGCCUGAACCAGCCAAGUCGCGUGAGGGAAGACGGUCCUAUGGAUUGUAAACCUCUUUAGGCGGGGAGCAAUGCCGGGCACGCGUGCCCGGAGGGAGAGUACCCGCAGAAUAAGCAUCGGCUAACUCCGUGCCAGCCGCCGCGGUAAUACGGAGGCUGCGAGCGUUAUCCGGAUUUAUUGGGUUUAAAGGGUGCGUAGGCGGAUUGUUAAGUCAGCGGUAAAAUGUCCGGGCUCAACCCGGGCCGGCCGUUGAAACUGGGGAUCUUGAGUGUGCGAGAAGUAUGCGGAAUGCGUGGUGUAGCGGUGAAAUGCAUAGAUAUCACGAAGAACUCCGAUUGCGAAGGCAGCAUACCGGCGCCCGACUGACGCUGAGGCACGAAAGCGUGGGGAUCGAACAGGAUUAGAUACCCGGGUAGUC
rnacentral:rRNA from 1 species